rnacentral:rRNA from 1 species
AGAGUUUGAUCCUGGCUCAGGACGAACGCUGGCGGCGUGCUUAACACAUGCAAGUCGAACGAUGAAGAAAAGAAUCGAAGCUUCGGCAGAAAUUCAUUUCGGAUUAGUGGCAGACGGGUGAGUAACGCGUGAGCAACCUACCUCUUACAAAGGGAUAGCCUCGGGAAACCGGGAUUAAUACCAUAUAACAUUGCGACGAAGCAUUUCGAUGCAAUCAAAGCUACGGCGGUAAGAGAUGGGCUCGCGUCCCAUUAACCGGAUGGUGAGGUAACGGCUCACCAUAGUGACGAUGGGUAACCGGCCUGAGAGGGUGAACGGUCACACUGGAACUGAGACACGGUCCAGACUCCUACGGGAGGCAGCAGUGGGGAAUAUUGCACAAUGGAGGGAACUCUGAUGCAGCGACGCCGCGUGAGUGAUGAAGGAAUUCGUUUCGUAAAACUCUGUUCUAUGGGAAGAAAAGGACUGUACCAUAGGAGAAAGCUCCGGCUAAAUACGUGCCAGCAGCCGCGGUAAUACGUAUGGAGCGAGCGUUGUCCGGAAUUAUUGGGCGUAAAGGGUGCGCAGGCGGCUUUACAAGUUGGAUGUGAAAUAUUGUGGCUCAACCACAAACGUGCAUCCAAAACUGCAAAGCUUGAGUUAAGGAGAGGUAAGUGGAAUUCCUGGUGUAGCGGUGGAAUGCGUAGAUAUCAGGAGGAAUACCGGUGGCGAAGGCGACUUACUGGACUUAAACUGACGCUCAGGCACGAAAGCGUGGGGAGCAAACAGGAUUAGAUACCCUGGUAGUCCACGCCGUAAACG